AUCGCCUGCCUACAACUCAGUUUCGCAUAUCCCUGUCAAAACAUGUGCUGUAAUUCUACUGCACGGUAGUUGUACAUUAGCUAGCUGUAGUUUUGGUGCACCCUGCUGGAAAUAGCAGGGCAAACCAAGCAGCAGCAGCAUAUCACUUUUCUAACAUGACCGCGUGAGGGUGCGUUGAAAUUACUGUUUCGUGAGAACCAUAGGUAAUCUCGUUUCUUCCAUUAUCCAGGCCCCAAAACAAGUGCAACUCAGCCAACAUUCACCACUGUUGCGGCAUCCACCCGUGUGUUCUCUGCAAACACCUCCUCAAAUGCCAGCAAGUCCAGUGCUGCAAGAGAACGCCAUCCCAUCAUCACCACGCAUGUUUGUGGUGGUCCCACGUAAAUUGGAGUAUCGUUCACCUACAAGCAUGACAAAAACAAAACCAGUUGUGGUGCACCGAUCAACAUAUACACAGACAGACGUAGCUGCGAAAGCACUGCAGGAACGGGGUUGUCAGACAGAGCCAUGGGAACUGCCAGUUGAAAGAAACGCCACUGUCAACACGAGCUGCACAACAGCCCCGACUCCCGCAAACUCAAACACAGGAAGCCAGCCUGCUGAAACUGAUGAUGACGAUGAUGAUGAA